UGUAAGUAUAAACAACUUGUACUUGUGAAACUGCGAAUGGCUCAUUACAACAGUUAUAAUUUAAUUGACAAAGAAUAAAAUUGAAAUAAUAUUUUACUACAUGGAUAGCCGUAGUAAUUCUAGAGCUAAUACAUGCGAGAAUAUUUAAUUAUAUAAAGAUCCGACUUUUUUAUAAUAAAGGAAGGAUUGUAUUUAUUAGAUCGAAAAUCAAUAGUAAUGGUUUAAAUGAUAUCCAUUGAGAUAUUGUACCUAUUACAAUAAUAAUAAAAAGAUGAAUCAUGAUAAAUGUCGAAUUGUUUUUUUAUCUGUAAAAGGAUUUAGAACAAUGUGUCAUUGAAAUUUCUGACCUAUCAACUUUUGAUGGUAGGAUAGAGGCCUACCAUGGUUUUGACGGGUAACGGAGAAUUAGGGUUCGAUUCCGGAGAGGGAGCCUGAGAAAUGGCUACCACUUCCAAGGAAGGCAGCAGGCGCGCAAAUUACCCAAUCCCAAUUAUACAUUUGGGGAGGUAGUGACAAAAAAUAACAAUACGGAGUAUUUUACAAUAUUCUGCAAUUGGAAUGGUUUUAAUGUAAAUGCUUAAAAGAGAAACAAUUAGAGGGCAAGUCUGGUGCCAGCAGCCGCGGUAAUUCCAGCUCUAAUAGUGUAUACUAAAAUUGCUGCAGUUAAAAAGCUCGUAGUUGGAUUUUUAAAUCUUUUUGAACUAUUAUCUUUUUAAUUUAGAUUUUGUUAAUAGCAAUCUAAUGUUGCUUGUUAUUUAUUCUAAAUUCUUUUUCUUUUUAUUAUUUGUUUAAUAGGAAGAAAAGGGGGAAUAAAAAGCAUUAAAAAGAAAUCCAAUAUUAGCAAUAAUAUUGGGUAAGAUUUUUUCGAAAUUAUUAAUUAAUCACUUAAUUGUUGAUAAUAAUUAAUCAUUCCUUUUUUUUUUAAUUUAUUUUGAAAGAAGGGGAAAAUUUCGGAUUAUUUACUUUGAAGAAAAUGGAGUGUUCAAAGCAGGCGUUUUUUUAUUUUAGGAUAAGAAAAAUUCGCAACUGAACACAUUAGCAUGGAAUAAUAAAAUAAGACACUUGAUUAAAUUUUUAAAUUUAAUUAAUUUGAAUUUAAAAAUGUAAUUAAAUAUUUUAUAAUUUAUUUUCUUGUUAAAGAGAGAAUAAAAAAGAAAAUAUUUAUUUCAAUUUUAUUGGUUUAUGAAACAGGUGUAAUGAUUAAGAGGGACAGUUGGGGGUAUCUGUAUUGCAUUGUCAGAGGUGAAAUUCUUGGAUUUAUGCAAGACAAACAAGUGCGAAAGCAUUUACCAAGGAUGUUUUCAUUAAUCAAGAACGAAAGUUAGGGGAUCGAAGGCGAUCAGAAACCGCCCUAGUCUUAACUAUAAACGAUGCCAACUAGGGAUUGGAGGGUUUAAUAUAAUAAUUAUCUUAUUACGUGAGAUAAUUAAAGUAUUGCUUUUAAAAAUAUAAUAAUUUAUUUAAUAGGUUUGUUUAAAUACAAAAUAUUAAAUGAAUUAUUUUUAAGCCCCGUCAGCACCUUUAGAGAAAUCAAUUAAGUCUCUGGGUUCUGGGGGGAGUAUGGUCGCAAGUCUGAAACUUAAAGAAAUUGACGGAAGGGCACCACCAGGUGUGGAGCCUGCGGCUUAAUUUGACUCAACACGGGGAAACUUACCAGGUCCAGACACGGGAAGGAUUGACAGAUUGAUAGUUCUUUCUUGAUUCCGUGGGUGGUGGUGCAUGGUCGUUCUUAGUUGGUGGAGUGAUUUGUCUGGUUAAUUCCGAUAACGAACGAGACCUCAACCUGCUAAAUAGGAUGAUAAUUUUAAUUUUUUCUUUUUUUCUUUUAUUUUAAUUUUUAAUUAAAUUUUGUAAUAUCUAGUUUUUAGAUGUUAGAUAAGUUAAUUAAAAAUAAAAUAAAAGAAAGAAGGAAGAAAUAAAAAAAAUUAAAAUAAAUAAUUCGUUAUGCUUAUGAUUUGUUUUUCUUUUUUAGUAGCAAUAUUAGAAUAGAGAAAUGAGUUAUAAGUGAAUUAUUGAAAUUAUUAUAUUGUAAAAAAUUUAAUUUAUAAAUAAUUAAAAAAAAAUGAAAAUUUUUUUUUAAUUGUAUAUAAAUUAAACCUGCUUAGAGGGACUACCAUGGUUGCACAUGGGGGAAGCAUGAGGCAAUAACAGGUCUGUGAUGCCCUUAGAUGUCCUGGGCCGCACGCGCGCUACACUGAUAAAGUCAACAAGUUUUUAUUAUAAUUAUUAUGAUUUAAAGGAUUUUUUUAUUUAAAAUAUUAAUUUAUUUUAAAUAAAUUGAUUCCAUAGUAAUUAUAAUUUCCUUAUCCGAAAGGAUUGGGUAAUCUUUUGAAACUUUAUCGUGAUGGGGAUUGAUCUUUGUAAUUUUGGAUCAUGAACGAGGAAUACCUAGUAAGUGCAAUUCAUCAGAUUGCGCUGAUUACGUCCCUGCCCUUUGUACACACCGCCCGUCGCUCCUACCGAUUGAAUGAUCAGAUGAAAUGUUCGGAUUGUUAAAUCAUUAAAAAUGAAUAAUUUUUAUGGAUUUAAUUAGAAGAGCAGUAAAUCUUAUUAUUUA
rnacentral:rRNA from 1 species